AGGCAAUCCAUCUGUUUUUGUUUUCUGUACCACAUUUCCUUCUCUAUAUUUUUUGCCCUGGGCUUUGAGAUACUGCUUCAACUUGAGCUUUUGGGGAACUAAUUAGUGUUUCAACAGCACAGCAGAGACAGCAUUUCACAAAGCAAAACUGCUCCCUAAUCUCAGAUAUUUGCCUGCCCAAUUAGCUGGAGGCUCCUUGAUGGCAGAGACUGCCUCCUUGGUAUCCCCAGCACACAGCACAGAACCUGGCACAUACCUUCAGCCUUGGGAACUUCUGUGUGUUUAUUGCACAUUCAUGAAGGUUACAGUAAAUAAUACUCAAGUAAGUGCAUCAGGGUUUGUGGAGGGUUUGGUGCAGGCUUGUUCCAGAGCCUUAAUAGGAUGAAUCUGAAAAUGAGGCUUUGGAGAUUUGAUCAAAGGACAGGUGUCUUUUAAUGUUGAGUUUUUAAGAAACAUUAAGGAUCUCAAAUGAGAGAACACUUACCACCUGGACAAAAAGGACAUUCAACAGUGGCAUUUGGGGCUUGUGCCGUUACUGUUUGAACAGAGUAACUGUGAACUGUGAACUGGCUCAAGAAGAUGUGAGUGAUUUGGGAUGGACCUGCAAUGGGGCCUCUCCUGAAGGAGAGGACUAGGAACCGGACUAGGGCAACCAAGGGAUUGAUGGUAAGGUCUUAACCAUGUUUAUGUUCCCCAGUACCUAGCACAUAAUAAAUAGUUGUUGAAUGACUGAAUGAAUGAGAUCAGAGAUGAUUGAACUGGCUGCAGUUUUU
rnacentral:lncRNA from 10 species